UAGAGUUUGAUCCUGGCUCAGAUUGAACGCUGGCGGCAUGCUUUACACAUGCAAGUCGAGCGGCAGCGCGGGGCAACCUGGCGGCGAGUGGCGAACGGGUGAGUAAUACAUCGGAACGUACCCAGAAGUGGGGGAUAACGUAGCGAAAGUUACGCUAAUACCGCAUACGUUCUACGGAAGAAAGUGGGGGAUCUUCGGACCUCAUGCUUUUGGAGCGGCCGAUGUCUGAUUAGCUAGUUGGUGAGGUAAAGGCUCACCAAGGCGACGAUCAGUAGCUGGUCUGAGAGGACGACCAGCCACACUGGGACUGAGACACGGCCCAGACUCCUACGGGAGGCAGCAGUGGGGAAUUUUGGACAAUGGGCGCAAGCCUGAUCCAGCAAUGCCGCGUGAGUGAAGAAGGCCUUCGGGUUGUAAAGCUCUUUUGUCAGGGAAGAAACGGCUGGGGCUAAUAUCCCCGGCUAAUGACGGUACCUGAAGAAUAAGCACCGGCUAACUACGUGCCAGCAGCCGCGGUAAUACGUAGGGUGCAAGCGUUAAUCGGAAUUACUGGGCGUAAAGCGUGCGCAGGCGGUUUUGUAAGUCUGACGUGAAAUCCCCGGGCUCAACCUGGGAAUUGCGUUGGAGACUGCAAG
rnacentral:rRNA from 1 species